rnacentral:ncRNA from 1 species
AACUGAAUAAUAAUGCAAACAUAAACACACACAACACACAUGGAAAAACUACUUUCACUCCGAUUAUCUCUGUUAUCGUAUUUCAUGCGAGGCUAAGGUUUAUCUGAAGGAAGUCAGUUCACUAUCCAAACUUUGCCCGCAUACUCGUAUGUGGGUUUUUUUUAUUCUGA